rnacentral:rRNA from 1 species
UACGUAGGGUGCAAGCGUUAAUCGGAAUUACUGGGCGUAAAGCGUACGCAGGCGGUUUGAUAAGCCAGAUGUGAAAUCCCCGAGCUCAACUUGAGAACUGCGUUUGGAACUGUCAGACUAGAGUGCGUCAGAAAAAAGUGGAAUUCCGCGUGUAGCAGUGAAAUGCGUAAAAAUGCGAAGGAACACCAAUGGCGAAAACAGCCCCCUGGGAUGACACUGACGCUCAUGCACGAAAGCGUGGGGAGCAAACAGG